UCCUACGGGGCGCAGCAGUAGGGAAUCUUCCACAAUGGGCGAAAGUCUGAUGGAGCAACGCCGCGUGAGUGAAGAAGGGCUUCGGAUCGUAAAACCCUGUUGGUAGAGAAGAAAGAUCGAGGGAGUAACUGGUCUCUUUUUGACGGUAUCUACCUAGAAAGCCACGGCUAACUACGUGCCAGCAGCCGCGGUAAUACGUAGGUGGCAAGCGUUAUCCGGAAUUAUUGGGCGUAAAGCGAGCGCAGGCGGCCUUAUAAGUCUGAUGUGAAAGCCUUCGGCUCAACCGGAGAAGUG
rnacentral:rRNA from 1 species